UAAGCCUUCCGGGGCAGGGUGAGCUUCACGCGGUGGGCGUGAGGCGAUUCCCGAUCGGCGGUGACAACCCGUGAGGUUCUGCGAGUGCAUCACACUGGCAGAACCGGGACCCGGUGGAAUUCCGGGGUCGACGGUACAGUCCGUAUGAGGUGAAGGCUGG
rnacentral:ncRNA from 1 species